UACGAACCGUACGAACGUUAUUCGGAAUCACUGGGCUUAAAGGGUGCGUAGGCGGCGCUGAAAGUUGGGUGUGAAAUCCCUCGGCUCAACCGAGGAACUGCAUUCAAAACUACAGUGCUUGAGGGAGAUAGAGGUGAGCGGAACUUAGGGUGGAGCGGUGAAAUGCGUUGAUAUCCUAAGGAACACCCGUGGCGAAAGCGGCUCACUGGGUCUCUUCUGACGCUGAGGCACGAAAGCUAGGGGAGCGAACGGG
rnacentral:rRNA from 1 species